rnacentral:ncRNA from 1 species
CCUUAUUAAGAGCGGCGGAGGGAAUAGGCCCUGUGAAGCCCGGCAACCCCUGUAUGUUAAAGUACAGAAGGUGCUAAAUCCUACAGAUAUUGCGGUCUGAAAGAUGAGG